AUUAAUCACCUAGAGCCUGAACGAUCGAGACGCGUUUCCACGGAUUCUGCCUACGAGCGUUCCACGAGCGACGAAUCUGUUACGUCGAAGACGAAGGAGAAUAUCGGAGAAGCAGGUGACCCGGAGAUGGUAUCGAUUGUUCUUUCGCGUUCUGAUCGGAUCAACGGACGUUAGAAUAUCUCUUGGCGAGGAUUGUCGUUGUAAGACUGGCGACCAUCAAGUUGGUUAGCAGGUUGAUCCUCUAACGAGACGUACUGUGCGAGAAACGCGCACGUAGCAUGAAAAAUUGGUCGCCGCGACCUAAAUCUGCCGCGAGAAGGCAAGCAAAUAUAAUAAAGCAAGCGUGGUUCGUGAUCCGAUGUCAGGAACGCAGGAAAUCUCGAGGAUCGUUCAUUUCGAAUUAGGUCGUUUCGCUACGCCUUCGAAGGGUCAACGUUGUCGAACAGUUUCGAAGAAACACGGACGUUCAAAGCGCGAAGCGUGCGCUCCUUGAUCGUUGUAUUUUGAAAAUUAAAUUACUGCUCGAGUUGGCUAAGUUAGCUUGUUAAGCAAUUUGAUGCAGCGACCACGCGAAAACGUAUGUACGCGGAUCGAUCGAUACGUUUUGCAAGCUUUUUAAGCUACGCUCGUUUCGUCGAUGUAUAAAGUGAAUUGUUUGCGAAACUCGCGAAACUGUCCUGUCUCUUCGAUACGAACCUCCCGACCUUUUUUCCUUUUCCAUUUGACGGAUGUUAAAGAGUCGAUUGCCGCGUAACGAGACCAAUCGUUAUUCGUAUAAUUUUUCCAUAGCGAGUCGAAGCUGUUUGAAUAAAAUAUGAAGCAGCUUGGUUAACCGAGAUUCGACGAUCUCUUCAUCGAAUAUUCCUAAGAGACCCGUUCACGGACAAUACCUGGAAACGUCGCGUGCUCCGAUGUGCGAUAAGCUUCGAACUGUUUACGAUCGCUGUUAAAAUAAAAGCUUGCGGUUGAAACUCGUUCUUCUCGACGACGAAGUUCCAUCUAUCUCCACUCGUGAAAUUUACCCGCGGUAUUUAUCCCGACGCGUGCUGUAUAAAUGUAAGAGGAAGGGAAAAAGUACACUCGAUACAUAUGCAUGGUGGCGAGCGAAAGCUUCUAGUCGGAUAAAGUUUACCCGCGAUCUUUCGUCGAGUUCGGUGAUCUCUUAAAACCACGGUCGCCUUCGUCAACGUGCCAUCCAUUGCUCUUUAAACUUUCUCUCCUCUACAGCCGCUAAUUACUUUCAGAGAAUUAACGACGAUAAAGGACGAUAAAGGUCGUUCGUUGUCCUCGGUGUCCCUGUGAAGAUCUACCUCGAUCCUCCGGGGGAGAAAUCACGAAAGAACGAUAUCCGACCAGAAAUUCUCGUACACCACCGUGAAACAUCGGACGAUGUCCAUUUAGAGUAAUAAUAGUUUUAUUUUCCGGCAUAUGAUCACACCCAUCGUUACAAUACGAUAAAUAGCGAGAGAACGACGGUGCGUGUCCUUUGUAUCUCUUCUGUCAUGUUAAUAUCUAUUGUUUCUUCUCUCUCUCUCACUCUCACUCUCUCUCUCUCUCUCUCUCUCUCUCUCUUUUUUAGGUACAACGAUAACAAUCUCGUCGAGGCGAGCAUCAUUCCUAUUCCCAGGCGGAAUUCAAUUUAACGAGCCGGCGAAUUUCACGAAUCACGAUUCUUCUUAAGUACCUAUAUAUCUAUAUAUGUAUGUAUAUAUUAUAUCGCGGCCAUCUGGCGUCUGCAAACGGCUAAGAAACGAUAGGAUCGAUCGAAUCCGCUCGUUAUUAUCCUCGUCACGCUCUUCCCUUCGCCAUCUCGUUCGUAUUCCCUCGUUCUUUUCACGCUCGUUGAAAUUUCAAUGGAUCUAGCGAAGAUCCAACACGCGACGUUAAUCGGCUACGUUUCGCAAGGAAUCAACGACUUCGUCGACCUGGCGAUCGCGUCGCUCCUCUUCCUUUUAUCCGCAGCGCGGAGCAAGUACAUUUUGCGUUCUAGCCAUUCGAACGAUUACAAGUUACGAACCAUCGAUAAAUUAAAUUCCGUAGCUUCUAAUUGAAAUUGUAACAUCGGGACGAACGAAAUUUCGCAGCGGAAUUACGCGUUAGGCGAAGAGGAACAGGUGAAAGUUUCUCUGAAUAGGAAGAAGAAAAAGAAGAAGAAGGUCGAUCGUUACCGUUCCUCUUGAAACACGUUUUGCGUUAUAAAUGUUCGCUGUAAUUGUUCGUCGAGAUCUUCCUUCUACGAUAAACGUCAGAAAGGACUGUUCUACGAGGCAAUAUAAUUCGCUUGGAGAUGAAUUGUUUUCGUAGGAAGAAGAGAUAGGAUGAUCCUUGGCGCAACAGCGUGAAGAGGAUAAUAAAUGCUUCAUCGAAUCCGAGCGCGUCAUUUCCAUCUCUAUUCGCCGUCUCUAUCCAACGUUACAUCGAAAUACUUAAAAAGCAAACGCAAUUAUCGUAAUUAAUAGCGAUUAACGUUGCUCUCAGCAAAUUCCGCUAGCUUCUCCUCCCUUUCGCUGCGUAUAUUUCCGUUCAGACCUUACCACUUAAACGAUACAGUUGAAUUUUGUGCGAACGCGGCAACAUUUUUAUUCGCUCGAGCAAUUUAUUAAUUUAACGAUCGUUUAACGCUCUCGACGAUUCCGUAUCAUCAGAUACCUCGCUGCAAUCCGCCAUCCCAUCUACGAGAAAAGACGUCGCGUCGCCUUUUCCGUUCGCGAUCGUUUCAUACUCAAGUUGGUACAGUUUCCUGUAAUCCAAACACUAUGGAUCGCGCAUCACCCUGAACGAGACGUUUUUCAAUUAUUUAACAAAAUAUACAGCGGAUACGUAUCGACGUCAACAGCGACUUUCCAUGCUAAAUUUUGGACAAAGAAGAUUUGCAAAGCUCGCUCUUGCUCCCUGAUUGUUCCAAUUCUACGAAACAACAGCGACUCGACAACUCCUGACCUGGUGACGUAGCUACGUCGAGAAAGACAGCACGAGGUUGAGCGGCGGUAUCGAUCAAAAUUCGAAGCUUCGAUGGCUAACCGACGAACACGGAAGAAAAUGUUCAUCUCGAUGGUCGUUCCAUCGGGAAAUUUUUUUUAUGCGUCUUGUUCUAUGCUGCGACUCCUGUCCAAACACGAUUAUGGCAGCGAUCAUCGGAGCGUUAAUUACGUUUCCGCGUCGCGACGUUCUCUCGGCGUUCGAUCGAACGAUCUCGCGCGAAAAAAUUAUCCGCCUGGCGCGUAGGCUCGUCAGAGGCGUUACAUAAACGUAUCGCGGCUCGCAAAACGCUUCUGUUCGCCACGAAACGCCUCCUCAUCCGUUUCGAACGCGUUUCCACUUAUCGACGGCUCGCCGAGCGUAACGAAAACAACACGUUUUUAAGCGCGUUGCAGAAAAGUACGAACACAAGUAGGAGGAAAACAACGUGUUCCGCGCUUUGCCGUUGUCACACGCUCAAGAAGGUCACCCGCUCAGAAACUGUAACAGGAUAAGCUGGACAUCCUGCAUACCACAGCCAUCGAAACAAUAACCAAAUACCAACGCAAUAGGCGCCUCUGAGACACGUCAGACGACGACUCCUCCAGAGGGACUAAAAGCUCGGUAUAAAAACCCUGCAAAAUAAGCGCUCGCCCCAGUCUCUUGUAACAUUUUCGAUCAUUCUGUUGCGACACUUUGAACCGUCACUCUGUUGGAUUCGCAUGAUAAAUUCUAUUAUCGUACGCAAAGUUCGAUUUCUUCACCUUAUUCGUGAAACGUUCGAACCGCGACGCGAGGAGAUUGCCACGUGAACUUGAGACUUCGAUCGUAAGAGAAAAGAAGGUUGAACCGUAACCCAACUAUGAACUUUUUUCUAUCGAACUUUACGAUAAAUACAAUGAUUAGAACGAUUUCACAAAGGUAGAACGAUACUGAAUCACAGAAAGACCGAACAAGAACUGCUCGAGCUGGCUCGUGUCUCGGCUUAUGUGCGUUUCGCUUUGGGGAUGUCGAGGGGCUCGGUGUACCUUUUGACGUGCACAAGAGUUCAAAGGUCAGAGGUCGAUGUUUUAUCUGUGACGAGAUUAAGGCGUGUCAUAGGCUCGGUGAUAGGGUGGCGACGUGCGCGAAAGAGUCGGAAGCUCCAGGGUCGAUGUCUUAUCUCUGCUGUAGAUCGAGAUGCGAUCGUUGUCACAAGAUCGUCGGUUUCGUCGUGAUUUCUCGUGUCUCCUACGUCACGCGACGCGUUUCAACGACCGGUCCAUCCGCUUGAAUUCGCCGAGAGGAAAGCGCAAGGGCGUGGUAUCGAGAGAUCGGCGAAUUGAUUUUCGUCGAUGACCUCGAAUCAUCCCGGUAGCGUCAAUGUCAUAAACACGACGAGGGGUCGAUAGGCUGUAGAAAUUCGUCAUCGUGGAGCGUGAGGCGUAACAAGAUGAUUGCGGAAUCGAACGCCAAGCCACGUACAAGCGCGAUCGUGUCCGAAUUUGCCUGAUUAAGGAGAAUAAACGGCGUUUGCCUCGUGUUUCAAGCGGAGAAGCGAAAAUCUGCGCGCUCGUCGUUUCUAACGUAAAGGGGAUGAAGCGAAGUAGCUGGACAGCAGAAGAAACGCGUAGCUGCGAAAGUGCUAACGAUAUCGAUCGCGAAAACACACCCGACGACUGACGCUUACGCGUACGUCGGUGAUAUUUGUUUUAAGUUGAAAGAUAUCGUCCAACGAAACCGAGAAAGACGAGAAGCUUCGACGUUGCAGGAAAAGUCUUUCUCCGGAAUCUUAUAUUCCAAGGAAACAACUAUUCGUACGGUUUCUACGUAAAAUCGUGUUUCAGAAGAUCAAAUACUUUGGCCUUGCACAGGAAAGCGUCGUAGAACAGCGAAAUCUCGCGCACCAAGUAACCCACUAAUCUCUGCGUAAAAUUGUCUCUUGGGAAAACGAAUCUGCCUUGGCUUUCCAUAGGAAAGUAGCAUUCAGAACAUCGAAACUCUGUGUAUUUUCCAGGAACGAUCAAUUCGCGAACGAUCUUCAAGCUUAGCGUCCGAGAACAGAGUCUAACAAGCCGAAGUAGCUACCGAUUCGAUUCAGCAACAUUUGGAAUUAAAAAUUGAAGAAAUGCCACCUAAAUAGACGUUUGUUACCGAAUAUCGCUAAUUACCAGACACCGGAUCCUUUCGUAACUUUCCUCAUUUUCGUUUUCUCUUUUUCUCUUUUCGUUUCUAUGGAAAGUUUGACGCGAAACUACGACGAAGCGUUAACGAACCCGAUCAUCGGCGUAAUCUAUACGACAGCUGCGUCUUGAAAUUUCCCACAGUCAGUUGUGCCAUCGCCUGUAUUCUCUACGACGAAAGAGAACAAAGCUACGAAAACGUUCAUGUUCCUAGGCAUCGGCGCGCGUCGUCGUAUCGACAGACGCGCUCUCGCAGCAGAACCGCGCGUCUCGGAGCACCAGAAUAGAAAAGUAUCUCGAGCACGAUCGCGAACGUAACGUUGCAUCGAAUGUAUAAUAACAAGCUUAAGUGCAGGCGGUCGAACGCGUUACUGUUGUACUUAAAUGGGAUUAAAUACGGCACCGAUGCACGUGUUCGUCUCGCAGCGCCGCGCAUAAGCAUAUUAGGUGUGUCGUGCGAGUCCGAUUUAACGCGUUCACCGAGCCGGAAAAUUCUCCGUCUUUCGACAGGAAAUUCAAAAUCAUCGAACAUUUCUUACCGUCGUUCGUAUUCAUUUUUAACGUUCGUUUCGUAUUCAGUUUUAACGACUUUCGCGCUUCGAUCUCACUCCGAGUUUGAAACGACUUUCGACGUGCGUAGGAAAUAUUUGCGCGUAAAAUUAGCGUACGAAGCGACGCGUACUCUAACGACGACGACUCGUUCGCUCGUUUUACCUUGGGAAAUUUUUCAACCAUAGGAAAAUACGACUCGAGCAAGGAUAAUCCGAAGAGCGAAACGAGGUCGAACGUUUUAAUCAAUUCUACCGUCGUUCAUCACCGAUGAUACAAUGCCGCGUUAUUGACGGAUCUAAUUCGAACCGACGUCGUGAGAAUUGACACGUUAAAGACGAAACCGAUUCCAAGGAGAAUCGAUAGCCGAAGAAGGCUGUUUCUCGAUUCCAUGGUCCCAGCAAGCGUUAACGCGCAACAAGACGAUCUAGGCGAUUUCCAAUGAUUUUUCGGUUCGCAGGUAUUUUACAACUUCGCUUAGAAAAAUUCUAGGAAGAUUGCUAGAUCCGUUAAGCGAAUUUUUAUCAAAGAAAAAAGAGGAAAGAAAAGGAUAUCCGUUGGACGAUUUUUUGAGAUUAGGUGCGAGUUUGCAUCGCAACUUAAAUUCAACGGCCAGUGUGGAUUUUCCAACGAGGAAGCCGCGAAUUUGUCGUCCGGUUUCUAAAUGCGAGCAAGUUUCAAAAUUGAAAAAUCUCAUCGGAAUUCGUGCGCGUGUAGCUUCUCGAAAGUAAAAUUCAAUUGCAUUGGCGCAAGGUAACUUGUGAAAUUUUCAAGCCAAAGGAAUUCAAUUAUGUAACUUUCGGAAUAAAGAGCAAGUUUCCGUUUGCGUUUAACAUCGUACCGCUUUAAUCGUCUCGAAGACCGGCGCGGGGAUGGAUAAGAGGAAGAAAAAGGAAAAAGUGUAGGUUUCCCAAACUUUUCCAUCCUUCUUUCCAACAAAAGAUAUUACGUACAGUCAGAUAGUAUCGUCUCGCGUAACAUAACUAAAUUUACCUGCAGUCACGCGAGACAGAUUUUGUAUCCACGAAGUUGUUGCCGGACGUUGAAACCGUGCGGCUCGUGGCAGGUGUUGCGAAGCAAAGAUUGAGCGGAAUUAAUUGCACGGCUUUUUGCCCCGUUGAUAAUAUACCGCAAUAAUACCAGCGAUAAAGCUUCGCGUUAUCGCGGUCGUUUUCGCCAACGUUUACACGUGUCGACUCUUCGUCGUUCUUUUUCCUCGUCGCGUUAAAAAUCGAGCGAUGCGUAGAAAUUGCGACGAAGCGCGACGCGUCUGUCGAUGAGAAAAAUUGAAGAAAACGUAUGGCGAGAAUCUAUCGCUUCCAAAGUUAAUUUGUAAAAUUAGACGCGGAGAGAAACUGUGAGUAUACUUUUCUUAAUUACUUUCUGGCCCUUUGCCUCGUUACAUCGAGUCACGUUCACGGUGUUAAUUACGAACGACGAAUAACGUUCGACCAAAGCUCGACUCUUUAACCCUUUGACUACUAUUGGCACCUAAACGCGUUGGGAAAAUUUGAUCGACCAUAAUUCCAGCGAAUCUGGUUCGAACCAGACGCAAGCGAACGCUAAUUCAACAAUUGUUAGUCAUACGUUAUUUAAGUACAGUUUAUUUUACAGCUAUUCUUUCUUACAUCCUUGAAACGAAUAAUUGGGAUAAUAAGAAGGCCAGAGGAACACGCAACGCGAACACGAAACGACAAAUGAUUCGUGUUCCGAUUCUCUGGAAACAAGCGAACAAACGAGAAUACGUGUGAAUAAAUGACAUCGUUUUAAUAUAGUAGAAUUCAGAGAUGCAGGCGUAACGAAAAGUUUCCCUGUCUCAAAUUUCUACGUUUCAAAGUCCGCCGUAUUCAAAUUUUCCGACUGUCCUCCGACCAGUAUAAAUAAACAAACGAAAUGACGAGCGAGGAAGUUCAGCGAUCGCAGCAUAAGCAUACAGACGCAUCAGACGUAUAUACGGAGUUUCUUGAGAUAGCGCGUAUUUAUUUCGUAAAAGUAAUUAUACCUGGACUUGUGCUUUGUGUCGAAUUAAUACCUUUCUAUAAAUUGCUCGCAAACAGUGGACUGUAUUUCGUGAUAUCUGAUAAGAACUAUCCUCUGCAGAUUCUUAACAGAUGCACCUUGGUAUGUUACCAACGAAACAAUACAUCGCGACCUUACGAUACCUACAGUUAAAGAAGAAAUAUCGAAAUUCAGUAAUAGAUAUAACAUAA